GCAUAUCAAUAAGCGGAGGAAAAGAAACCAACAGGGAUUGCCCUAGUAACGGCGAGUGAAGCGGCAACAGCUCAAAUUUGAAAUCUGGCGUCUUUGGCGUCCGAGUUGUAAUUUGCAGAGGGCGCUUUGGCAUUGGCAGCGGUCCAAGUUCCUUGGAACAGGACGUCACAGAGGGUGAGAAUCCCGUACGUGGUCGCUAGCCUUUACCGUGUAAAGCCCCUUCGACGAGUCGAGUUGUUUGGGAAUGCAGCUCUAAAUGGGAGGUAAAUUUCUUCUAAAGCUAAAUACUGCCAGAGACGAUAGCGCACAGUAGAGUGAUCGAAGAUGAAAGCACUUUGGAAAGAGAGUAAAAAGCACGUGAAAUUGUUGAAUGGGAAGCGC
rnacentral:rRNA from 1 species